rnacentral:rRNA from 1 species
UGGGGAAUAUUGCGCAAUGAACGAAAGUUUGACGCAGCGACGCCGCGUGAGGGACGAAGGUCUUCGGAUCGUAAACCUCUGUCAGAAGGGAAGAAGUGUAGGGGGAGUAACUGUCCUCUACUUGACGGUACCUUCAGAGGAAGCACCGGCUAACUCCGUGCCAGCAGCCGCGGUAAUACGGAGGGUGCGAGCGUUAAUCGGAAUUACUGGGCGUAAAGCGCGCGUAGGCGGCCCUUCAAGUCGCGUGUCAAAGUCCAGUGCUCAACGCUGGGUGUGCGCGCGAUACUGACGGGCUUGAGGGCUUGAGAGGUGAGCGGAAUUCCCGGUGUAGUGGUAAAAUACGUAGAGAUCGGGAGGAACACCAGCGGCGCAGGCGGCUCACUAGACAGUUUCUGACGCUAAGAUACGAAAGCGUGGGGAGCAAACA